rnacentral:rRNA from 1 species
UACGUGAGGGGCAAGGCGUUGUCCGGAUUUAUUGGGCGUAAAGAGCGUGUAGGCGGUUUGGUAGGUCCGUUGUUGAAAACUCGAGGCUCAACCUCGAGACGCGAUGGAAACCAUCAGACUAGAGUCCGGAAGAGGAGAGGUGGAAGUUCCUGGUGUAGCGGGUGAAAUGCGCAGAUAUCAAGGAGGAACACCGGUGGCGAAGGCGGGGUCGUCUGGGCCGUAACUGACGCUGGAGGAGCGAAAGCGUGGGGAGCGAACAGGA